rnacentral:rRNA from 1 species
GGAUUGGGCGCGACUGCUAAUACCAAAUGUGUCGCAAGAUGAAAGAUUUAUUGCCUAAAGAUGAGCUCGCGUCUGAUUAGCUAGUUGGUGGGGUAAAAGCGUACCAAGGCGACGAUCAGUAGCUGGUCUGAGAGGAUGAUCAGCCACACUGGGACUGAGACACGGCCCAGACUCCUACGGGAGGCAGCAGUGGGGAAUUUUCCGCAAUGGGCGAAAGCCUGACGGAGCAACGCCGCGUGAGGGAGGAAGGCUCUUGGGUUGUAAACCUCUUUUCUCAAGGAAGAUUUCAGACGGUACUUGAGGAAUCAGCAUCGGCUAACUCCGUGCCAGCAGCCGCGGUAAUACGGAGGAUGCAAGCGUUAUCCGGAAUAAUUGGGCGUAAAGCGUUCGUAGGUGGUUUUGCAAGUCUGCUGUUAAAGCGUGUAGCUCAACUACAUAAUGGCGGUGGAAACUGCAAGACUAGAGUGCGUUCGGGGUAGAGGGAAUUCCUGGUGUAGCGGUGAAAUGCGUAGAGAUCAGGAAGAACACCGGUGGCGAAGGCGCUCUACUAGGCCGCAACUGACACUGAGGGACGAAAGCUAGGGGAGCGAAUGGGAUUAGAUACCCCCAGUAGUCA